ACGUUCACUGUUAUUAUUGUCGCCGCGUUUUCGUUGCUCCUGUCAUUUCACAUCGUUUUUGACAAACGUCACAUAAAACGCGAGUAAGAGUUUUUUGUGACUUUUGACCAAAUCGAACGAAAUUUGUGAUAUUUUUCUAAUAAUCCUUUUAUUUAUUUUUUUUUUUAAUUUGGAUAAAAACCAACAAAAAUUAUGUUCCUAACCGUGAAUACCGUUGAAAUGUGUAUUUAAAAUAAAAAAAAAUCAAUUACUCGAUGAUAGCUAAGAAUACAAUUUUUGGAUUUCACAAAUGUGAACCAGAAAAAUGCCACUGAAACUUUCCAGCAAAAUAUAGCAAAAAAAAAAAAAUAAAAUAAAAUAAAUAAAAAAAAUAAAAAAAAUUAAAAAAAAAAAAAAAAAACAAGAAUUCUAGAUUGUCUCGCAAUUAGAAAUUUAUGGUGUCGCGUAUUUGUGGUUCGUCGGUUGAAAACAUUGUCGUCGUCGUCGUUGCCGUUGCCGUCAUCAUUGUCGUUGUCGUUGCCAUUGUUGUGCUUUAUAGAGAAGUCGGUGUCGGUAUCAUUGUUUGCAUUGUUGUUAUUAUUCUAGUGCUGCUGGUGUUUGCCUACAGCCUGGGUGUUGAAAUAGGAGCCGUUCGCUGUAACUAGUAGCCACCACGCGCGCUUUGUGGUUAUUCUAAGUGGAAUCACUGUGAUGCUAUACACGCAUUAUUACAAAACCUGUGCAGAAUUGCAUACGCAUGCAUGAUAUAUACAUAUAUAUACACAUAUAUACGUCAUAUACGUUCACGUACAAUUGCUUACACGUUUGUAUGCGAGUAAUCUAUACAUCAAUGGGAAAGAAAGAGUGAGUUGCAUUUAAUUUAAUCUUAAAAUGAUGAGUAACCUUUGCAACAACCUUGUCGGUUGUCUCUGAAUGAUGACAACAAUAGCAUAUAUAUAUAUGUGUGUGUUUGUGUUUAAAUGCUUCAGACUUUCACUCAUAUGCAAAUAAGACGAAAUAACAUUUUGCUACUGCAUGCCAUUCACUAUACAUUAUGGAUAUCAACAGGUUCUCGGAAAAUGGUAAUUAAGUGGUAAAGUAAAACCGAAAACAAAGGUUACAUUUCCAGCAUCACAGAGAAACUGUGAUAAAAUGUAAUGUAAUCUAAAUACGGAGAAUAGGACGUAUAAUGCCGCUAAACUAGCAACGUUUGUAUACGAUAUAAUUACAUCAUUAAAAACAACAACAGCAACAAAUAGCAUCAGCUAUAGUAACAUAAAACAACAUCAAAUUAAGAAGAAAUUGGACAUUUUGGAUGAAAGAAAGGCCCGAACAUGGAAUUAUGACAACGACUUCAAUUUGCAUCUUUUUUCUUAACAUUAAAAAAAAGAAAAAGAUAUAUGAAAAUAUAACAACAACAACAA